rnacentral:rRNA from 1 species
GACGAACGCUGGCGGCGUGCCUAAUACAUGCAAGUCGAACGCAGUGGGGACGGGUGAGUAAAACGUGGGUAACCUCCCAUCAGAGGGGAUAACACUUGGAAACAGGUGCUAAACCGAUACUGAUGGAUGGACCAGCGGUGCAUUAGCUAGUUGUUGAGGUAACGGCUCACAAAGGCCACGAUGCAUAGCCGACUCGAGAGGGUGAUCGGCCACACGGGGACGUAGCCACCGACCAGACUCCUACGUGAGGCAGCAGUAGGGAAUCUUCGGCAAUGGACGAAAGUCUGACCGAGCAACGCCGCGUGAGUGAAGAAGGUUUUCGGAUCUUAAAACCCUGUUGUUAGAGAAGCGGUAUCUAACCAGAAAGCCACGGCUAACUACGUGCCAGCAGCCGCGGUAAUAC